rnacentral:rRNA from 1 species
GUGCCAGCAGCCGCGGUAAUACGUAGGUGGCAAGCGUUGUCCGGAAUUAUUGGGCGUAAAGCGCGCGCAGGCGGCUUCUUAAGUCUGAUGUGAAAGCCUACGGCUCAACCGCGGACGGUCAUUGGAAACUGGGAGACUUGAGUGCAGAAGAGGAAAGUGGAAUUCCACGUGUAGCGGUGAAAUGCGUAGAGAUGUGGAGGAAAACCGGUGGCGAAGGCGACUUUCUGGUCUGCAACUGACGCUGAGGCGCGAAAGCGUGGGGAGCAAACAGGAGUAGAUACCCUGGUAGUCCACGCCGUAAACGAUGAGUGCUAAGUGUUAGGGGGGUUCCGCCCCUUAGUGCUGCAGCCAACACAUUAAGCAUUCCGCCUGGGGAGUACGACCGCAAGGUUGAAACUCAAAGGAAUUGACGG